rnacentral:pre_miRNA from 1 species
AGCCACUGCCCACAGCACACUGCGUUGCUCCGGACCCACUGUGCGUGUGACAGCGGCUGA